rnacentral:rRNA from 1 species
CCUANGGGGGCUGCAGUAACGAAUAUUCCGCAAUGGGCGCAAGCCUGACGGAGCAAUGCCGCGUGCGGGAUGAAGCGGCUUCGCCGUGUAAACCGCUGUCAGGGGUCAGAAACACUGAUCGACCCCAGAGGAAGAGACGGCUAACCCUGUGCCAGCAGCCGCGGUAAUACAGGGGUCUCAAGCGUUAAUCGGAAUCACUGGGCUUAAAGGGUGCGUAGGCGGCCGUGCAAGUGUCCCGUGAAAUCCCACGGCUCAACCGUGGAAUUGCGGGGCAAACUGCGCGGCUCGAGGAAGGUAGAGGCCGGUGGAACGAUAGGUGGAGCGGUGGAAUGCGUAGAGAUCUAUCGGAACGCCAAAGGUGAAGACAGCCGGCUGGGCCUUUCCUGACGCUGAGGCACGAAAGCGUGGGGAGCAAACCGGAUUAGAUACCCUGNUANUC